GUGCUGACAUGGCAGGGGAGUGCCGAUGAUCGCAAGGCUGUUCUUCCGGGCUGAGGCAUGCCCGCUGCACUCCGGCUGUUCUGACGCCUGCCAUGUCCCAAAUGUGGGACACUUGACUGUAAAUAGUGUGCUGGUGGGGACUGUGUUCGCUCUCUCCCUGA